UUAAUGGAAGCAAGUGGUCCCACG
rnacentral:piRNA from 1 species